rnacentral:rRNA from 1 species
UACCUGCAGCUCAAGUGGUGGCCGCUAUUAUUGGGCCUAAAACGUUCGUAGCCGGUUUAGUAAAUGCUUGGGUAAAUUGUGUCGCUUAACGAUACGAAUACCGGGUAGACUGCGUAAACUUGGGACCGGGAGAGGCUAGAGGUACUCCUAGGGUAGAGGUGAAAUUCUGUAAUCCUGGGGGGACCACCAGUGGCGAAGGCGUCUAGCUAGAACGGGUCUGACGGUGAGGGACGAAGCCCUGGGGCGCAAACCGGAUUAGAUACCCGCGUA